UCAUUGGCGGACGGGUGAGUAAAGCUUGGGAAUCUAGCUUGUGGAGGUGGAUAAAUCAGAGAAACUGUGUCUAAUACCGCGUACCAUAAGAUGAGCCCAAGUGGGAUUAGGUAGUUGGUGAGUUAAAGGAUCACCAAGCCGACGAUCGCUAGCUGGUCUGAUAGGAUGACCAGUCACAAGGGGAUGUAGACACGUCGCAGACUAUGACGUGAGGCAGCAGUGGGGAAUAUUGCGAAAGGGAGGAAACCUGACGCAGCAAUGCCGCGUGAGUGAAGAAGGCCUUCGGGUUGUAAAGGUCUUUCGGUAGCGAGGCGUUAACUACAGAAGAAGCACCGGCUAACUCCGUGCCAGCAGCCGCGGUAAUAC
rnacentral:rRNA from 1 species